rnacentral:rRNA from 1 species
AUUGAACGCUGGCGGCAUGCCUUACACAUGCAAGUCGAACGGUAACAGGUCUUCGGAUGCUGACGAGUGGCGCACGGGUGCGUAAUACAUCGGAACGUGCCCAGACGUGGGGGAUAACGAGGCGAAAGCUUUGCUAAUACCGCAUACGAUCUAAGGAUGAAAGCAGGGGACCGCAAGGCCUUGUGCGUUUGGAGCGGCCGAUGGCAGAUUAGGUAGUUGGUGGGAUAAAAGCUUACCAAGCCGACGAUCUGUAGCUGGUCUGAGAGGACGACCAGCCACACUGGGACUGAGACACGGCCCAGACUCCUACGGGAGGCAGCAGUGGGGAAUUUUGGACAAAGGGCGAAAGCCUGAUCCAGCAAUGCCGCGUGCAGGAUGAAGGCCUUCGGGUUGUAAACUGCUUUUGUACGGAACGAAAAGGCUCUGGCUAAUACCUGGGGCACAUGACGGUACCGUAAGAAUAAGCACCGGCUAACUACGUG